rnacentral:rRNA from 1 species
AAAGCGAAACUAGCGAAGUGGAGCAAAACUCUAAAAAACAAUCUCAGUUCAGAUUGCAGGCUGCAACUCGCCUGCAUGAAGUCGGAAUUGCUAGUAAUCGUAGGUCAGCAUACUACGGUGAAUACGUUCCCGGGCCUUGUACACACCGCCCGUCAAACCAUGAGAGUUGGCAACGCCCGAAGUCAGCGGCCCAACCGAAAGGAGGGAGCUGCCGAAGGCAGGCCUGGUGACUGGGGUGAAGUCGUAACAAGGUAGC